GGCCGGGGGCUGUACGACAAGCCCCGUAAACCCCGCCAGGUCCGAGAGGAAGCAACGGUAGCGGAUCGCCUGUGUGUUGCGGUUUUCCCGGUCUCC
rnacentral:SRP_RNA from 1 species